AAGAAACGGCAGUUUUAAUGAGCCAUCGGCGAAAUGAUCGAAGUAGCAUAGUAUCAGAAACAUUGGUCCCGGCGGGGCUCGAACCCGCGACCUUCGGCUCAUAAGACCAACGCUCUAACCAACUGAGCUACGGGACCACGAUGCAUUUUAGGGAUGACCUUAAACAUCAUAACCUAAAUGAUUAAUACUCGGCCUGAUCUGGUGAUUCCAGCUCUGUAUCCCUAACUGGUUCCAGUCACAUGGGAGGAGGCAGCAGUCAGGGCUCUGGUUGGACUUGGGUCGAUAUCGGCGCAAUCGGCCAAUUUCAAAAGGGCGAAGAAGUAGUCCAGCCAAGUCCCCAAAAGCAACCCCCCCCCCCCCCCGGGCCCUUCCCCGGAGGCGGCUCAAGAGGCGCUUCCGCAAGCGCUAGCACCCGCUGAAGUUGCUCAUCCCAUUCCUAACCAAGAGGAGGUUGCGGCACUACGAAGGGAACUCCAUGGAUUAAUCAAUCCGAAAGGGGGUAGUGUUGUCUCGAAAGGGAGAGUGAAGCGGGUUCAAGCUAGAAGAAAUUACUUUCUAUAAAGAAGGUAAAGGAAGGUUCGAUGGAAUUCAAGCUCAUGACAUGUCUCGGUUGAUCGAUCAUAGACUAUCUCAAAAGAGAGGAGUCCUCAAAUAGAUGGCUACCUAACUGCAAUUUCCUAAUAAGUCAUGAUGGAAAUUAUUUUGGGUAAUUAAUUGGUAAUGAUGCUCCGGACCCGUAUGAUUUUGAUUUCUCUGAUGAUAUUGUUGCUGAUGCUGAUUAUGCUUAGAGGAGGAUUCUUAUCUGGAGGGUUUGGAUGCUUUUCAGUUGAGCUUUUCCCACCUGGAAGAAGAACAGUCCAAAAAUGCUAGCGUGAUUCUUGACUGAAUAUUGCCUGCUGUUUUAGAUUAUCAGUACUGGCAAACAAGUUUGAUUUCUCA